AACGAACGCUGGCGGCAUGCCUAACACAUGCAAGUCGAACGAGACCUCCGGGUCUAGUGGCGCAUGGGUGCGUAACGCGUGGGAACCUUCCCUUAGGUUCGGAAUAACUCCCCGAAAGGGGUGCUAAUACCGGACAAUGUCUUCGGACCAAAGAUUUAUCGACUUUGGAUGGGCCCGCGUUGGAUUAGCUAGUUGGUAGGCUAAAAGCCUACCAAGGCGACGAUCCAUAGCUGGUCUGAGAGGAUGAUCAGCCACACUGGGACUGAGACACGGCCCAGACUCCUACGGGAGGCAGCAGUGGGGAAUAUUGGACAAUGGGCGAAAGCCUGAUCCAGCUAUGCCGCGUGAGUGAUGAAGGCCUUAGGGUUGUAAAGCUCUUUUACCCGGGAUGAUAAUGACAGUACCGAGAGAAUAAGCUCCGGCUAACUCCGUG
rnacentral:rRNA from 1 species